UAAGGGCUGGUCAGUCAGCAUUUCACUGUGAGGUCUACACUGUUGGUUAAGGGCUGGUCAGUCAGCAUUUCACUGUGAGGUCUACACCUGUUGGUUAAGGGCUGGUCAGUCAGCAUUUCACUGUGAGGUCUACACUGUUGGUUAAGGGCUGGUCAGUCAGCAUUUCACUGUGAGGUCUACACCUGUUGGUUAAGGGCUGGUCAGUCAGCAUUUCACUGUGAGGUCUACACCUGUUGGUUAAGGGCUGGUCAGUAAACAUUUCACUGUGAGGUCUACACCUGUUGGUUAAGGGCUGGUCAGUCAGCAUUUCACUGUGAGGUCUACACCUGUUGGUUAAGGGCUGGUCAGUAAACAUUUCACUGUGAGGUCUACACCUGUUGGUUAAGGGCUGGUCAGUCAGCAUUUCACUGUGAGGUCUACACCUGUUGGUUAAGGGCUGGUCAGUCAGCAUUUCACUGUGAGGUCUACACCUGUUGGUUAAGGGCUGGUCAGUAAACAUUUCACUGUGAGGUCUACACCUGUUGGUUAAGGGCUGGUCAGUCAGCAUUUCACUGUGAGGUCUACACCUGUUGGUUAAGGGCUGGUCAGUAAACAUUUCACUGUGAGGUCUACACCUGUUGGUUAAGGGCUGGUCAGUCAGCAUUUCACUGUGAGGUCUACACCUGUUGGUUAAGGGCU